AGAUAAAACUGCCGGUCAUCCCAGAAUCGGCCUCUAUUAGUGAACGGAUAAGUUAAGUCGAGUGAAAGUGGAAAAAGGUCCCGAUUGUGACUGUUAGUGAGUGAACGGAAUCAUCGCCGUUGUGCCAUUCCGUCGCCCCAUUAUCGGUCGGUCAGAGGAUAGCGGCCCGCCACCCCCUAUUUCAUCCCGAGACAACAGUUCCGGAUUUACCAUUGUCGUGUGGACGGCCAGGAGAGAAGAGCCAGAGAAUCCCGAGACGGUUCCCCGCCGACGUGUGAGUCAUCAUCCAUUCACCACCAAACGUUACCAGGAAGGACGGAAGAGCAUGCCGAUGGGGUCCCGACGAUUCCGAUCCCGGACAGUCGAGGGAAGCCGACUUCCUGCCAGCUGCUAGAGUGCCCACAGCAAACGGUAUGUGAGUAAACUCCUUUCCUUUGCUUUCCUUUCCUUGAGUUACUCCCCCCCCCUUCCUUGCUAUGAUGAAUCAAGAAAUUAAUAAUAGAAUGAUGUAAAGUUAAA
rnacentral:lncRNA from 1 species